rnacentral:tRNA from 1 species
GGUGGUAUGGCUCAAUGGUAGAGUGCCAGCCCAGCAAGUGUGAGACUCUGACUUCAAACCUCAGUACCACCA